UACGUAGGGGGCUAGCGUUGUCCGGAAUCAUUGGGCGUAAAGAGCGUGUAGGCGGCUCAGUAAGUCCGCUGUGAAAGUCCAGGGCUCAACCCUGGAAUGCCAGUGGAAACUGUUGAGCUAGAGUCCGGAAGAGGCGAGUGGAAUUCCUGGUGUAGCGGUGAAAUGCGCAGAUAUCAGGAGGAACACCGAUGGCGAAGGCAGCUCGCUGGGACGGUACUGACGCUGAGACGCGAAAGCGUGGGGAGCAAACAGG
rnacentral:rRNA from 1 species